AACAAUAACGACAGCGCAUGCGAAGCGUUAACCGUCGAUAAUUUACGAAUUAAUAAUACCUUUUGCCCCGGGGGAGACGAGCAAAUUGCACUGUGAAAAUUGCAAAACGCGUUCGAAAUGCCCCGAGUGAUCGCGUCAUUGAUCGACUCGCGCUUUUUUCGCCGAACAAACAGCGUUGGAACGCAAGCUGUCUUAUGUGUCCAGUGUAACGUGUCUUAGGAAUUCAGAAUCUGCACGAUGACGCACACUAUGAUGAUAUUUAGAGCGAAAAAGAAAAGAAAGUUUUCGUAAGACAAAACUGUACAAACAAAUAAAUAACAAAAAGAAUUACUCCUCCCCGAAA